rnacentral:rRNA from 1 species
UACGUAUGGUGCAAGCGUUAUCCGGAUUUACUGGGCGUAAAGGGAGCGUAGACGGCAUGGCAAGCCAGAUGUGAAAUACCGGGGCUCAACCCCGGGACUGCAUUUGGAACUGUUAAGCUGGAGUGUCGGAGAGGCAGGCGGAAUUCCUAGUGUAGCGGUGAAAUGCGUAGAUAUUAGGAGGAACACCAGUGGCGAAGGCGGCCUGCUGGACGAUAACUGACGUUGAGGCUCGAAAGCGUGGGGAGCAAACAGG